AGAAUGAACGCUAGCGAUAUGCUUAACACAUGCAAGUUGAACGUUGUUUUCGAGUCAAAAUGAAAACAAAGUGGCGAACGGGUGCGUAACACGUGGGAAUCUGCCAAACAGUUUGGGCCAAAUCCUGAAUGAAUGAAAGCUAAAAAGCGCUGUUUGAUGAGCCCACGUAGUAUUAGGUAGUUGGUUAGGUAAAAGCUGACCAAGCCUACGAUGCUUAGCUGGUCUUUUCGGAUGAUCAGCCACACUGGGACUGAGACACGGCCCAGACUCCUACGGGAGGCAGCAGUGGGGAAUCUUGGACAAUGGGCGAAAGCCUGAUCCGGCAAUAUGGCGUGAGUGAAGAAGGCUUUCGGGUUGUAAACCCCUUUCAGUUGGGACGAAGCUUCUUCGGUGAAUAGCCGAACGGAGUGACGGUACCUUCACAAGAAGCACCGGCUAACUACGUGCCAGCAGGCCGC
rnacentral:rRNA from 1 species